rnacentral:rRNA from 1 species
UACGGGGGGGGCAAGCGUUGUUCGGAAUUACUGGGCGUGAAGGGCUCGUAGGCGGCCCUCUCAGUCGGAUGUGAAAUCCCCAGGCUCAACCUGGGAAUGGCAUCCGAUACUGGAGGGCUUGAAUUCGGGAGAGGGAUGCAGAAUUCCAGGUGUAGCGGUGAAAUGCGUAGAUAUCUGGAGGAAUACCGGUGGCGAAAGCGGCCAUCUGGCGAGUUAUUGACGCUAAGGUGCGAAAGCGUGGGGAUCAAACAGG